rnacentral:rRNA from 1 species
UACGUAGGGUGCAAGCGUUGUCCGGAAUUAUUGGGCGUAAAGAGCUCGUAGGCGGCUUGUCGCGUCGGCUGUGAAAAACCUGGGGCUCAACCCCGGGCCUGCAGCCGAUACGGGCAAGCUAGAAUUCGGUAGGGGAGACUGGAAUUCCAGGUGUAGCGGUGAAAUGACGUAGAUAUCUGGAGGAACACCGGUGGCGAAGGCGGCAUCCUGGACCGGCAUUGACGCUGAGGCGCGAAAGCCAGGGGAGCAAACGGG